rnacentral:tRNA from 1 species
GCGGGCGUGCCAGAGCGGUCAAAUGGGACGGGUUUAGGACCCGUUGGCUGAGUGCCUUCGCAGGUUCGAAUCCUGCCGCCCGCA